rnacentral:sRNA from 1 species
ACGGUCGGGGCCCCUCGGGGACCAGCCCUUCCCGGGGCUGCUGCCAAAAAACCUCAGUCGGGAGGAGUUGGUUGAUGCGCUGCGGGCAGCCGUGGUGGACCGGAAAGGUGAGGGGUGAGAGGCACGGCCGCACAGGGACUGAGAGGGGACUGCCGCGGCGUGCAGGUGGGCUCUCCAUUGAAGCCAUGGGAUCAGCCCUGCUUCUGCCUCCCACUAGCAGCAUCAGCUGGGACGAGCCACCUAAUUUGCACCCUCUCUCCACUUUUAACCCUACUGCCAUGAUGCAGUAGGGUUAAGAGUGGGGAGAGGAUGCAAAUAACUACCGAGCCUUGCACAGAGCCGGCGCUCAGUUACGGGAGUUGCUAUACUAGAUUAUUGUUUAUUGGCCGCGGUGGGUCACGCCUGUAAUCCCAGCACUUUAGGGGGCUGACGCGGGCGGAUCACCUGAGGUCAGGAGUUCGAGACUAGCCUGGCCAACAUGGUGAAACCCUGUCUCUACUAAAAAUACAAAAAUUAGCCAGGUGUGGCGGCGUCCGCCUGUAAUCCCAGCUACUCGGGAGGCUGAGGCAGGAGAGUCACUUGAACCCGGAUAGCAGAGGUUGCAGUGAGCCGAGAUCGUGCUACUGCGCUCCAGCCUGGGGCGACAGAGCAAGACUCAGUCUAAAUAAAUACAUAAAUAAAUAAUUAUUGUUUAUCGACAGACAAAACACAGGCUUUGGAGUCAGACAUACCUAGGCUCUGUGAUCAGUUUGCUGUGUGGCUUUAGGAAAAUAACUGAAUUUCUCUGAACCUCACUCUCCAUUCAGUGAUUUAUUCCUUUUCUCAACUAUUUCUUGAAUAUAUGCUAUGUUCCAGGCAGUGUUCUAGGCAAGCUAUACAGUGCUGAAAAAGGUAGAUAUGGUUUCUGCUCUCAGGGGAGAAAUGAAUUUCUCUCUAACGGGAGAAAUGGAUGUCAGAAAAUAAAUGAACAAGUUACUAGUGAUAAGUGCUAUGCAUAAACUAAAACAGGGUGUUAUGAUGGUGAGGAACUGUAGGAGGAAGGCAGACAUUAGAUUGGAGAUUCAGACCUCUCCGUGAUGUGACAUUUGAGCCAAGAUGAUAGGGAGCCAGACCUGGGAAAUUUGGGGACAGAGGAAACAGCAAGUGCCAAGGCUCUGAGGUGGCAGAGGAACAGAAAGAAGUUCAGUUUGGUGUGGGGUAGAUAACUCAUGUCUGAGAGUCAUGAUGGGGCCAUGUGCUAAGAUGCGUGAGAAAGUGCUCUGGAAACUCUUUUAAGUGCUGCAUAAAAGGUUACCGUUGCUUUUGCCGAUGUUUGUGUGAUGUAUGUUUCAGGACCUCUAGUGACGUUGAACAAGCCACAGGGUCUACCAGUGACAGGUAUGGGCCGGGGAUGUGGGAAGGGAAUGCAGCGGAAGGCGGUUUCGUGUCUGAGGGAGGGAAAAGUGAAGGCAUGAAGCUUUGGCCUCUUGUAAUUUUUCUUUCUUACUUUCCAGGAAAACCAGGAGAGCUGACAUUGUUCUCAGUGCUGCCAGAGCUGAGCCAGUCCCUAGGGCUCGGGAAGCAGGAGCUUCAGGUUGUCCGAGCAUCUGGGAAGGAAAGCUCUGGGCUUGUACUCCUCUCCAGCUGUCCCCAGACAGCUAGUCGCCUCCAGAAGUUCUUCACCCAUGCACGGAGAGCCCAGAGGCCCACAGCCACCUACUGUGCUGUCACUGAUGGGAUCCCAGCUGCUUCUGAGGGGAAGAUCCAGGCCGCCCUGAAACUGGAACACAUUGAUGGGGUCAAUCUUGUGAGUCCGGGUCUGGGCAGGGAAGAGGAAGGAUGCUUCUAGAUAUGAGUACCCCUACAGAGAGGAGUCAGGGGUAUGGAUUUGGGAUGGCUGGCUCUCCUGUCCCCUAAAACAGGCAAGUGACCACUGCCUAUACUGUGGCCCUGCCCAGAGUCUGUUGGGAGCAGGGAGGGUCUGGGUAUAGCUCCCAGGCCUGUGUAAGGCUUAUUCACUCUUGGCUGGCACCACAGACAGUUCCAGUGAAGGCCCCAUCCCGAAAGGACAUCCUGGAAGGUGUCAAGAAGACUCUCAGUCACUUUCGUGUGGUAGCCACAGGCUCUGGCUGUGCCCUGGUCCAGCUGCAGCCACUGACAGGUAGGUCUGGCACCCCAGCCAACCUUUAAAACUGCACUUGAUUUGGGAGGCUGAGGCAGGUGGAUCACGAGGUCCGGAGGUCAAGACCAGUCUGGCCAAGAUGGUGAAACCGUGUUUCAACUAAAAACUACAAAAAUUAGCUGGGCACGGUGGCAGGCGCCUGUAAAACCAGCUACUGGGAAGGCUGAGGGAGGAGAAUCGCUUGAACCCGGGAGGCAGAAGUUGCAAUGAGCCAAGAUCACGCCACUGCACUCCAGCCUAGGUGAUAGAGUGAGACUUCAUCU